AUUGAACGCUGGCGGCAGGCUUAACACAUGCAAGUCGAGCGGGGUGAUGGUGCUUGCACUAUCACUUAGCGGCGGACGGGUGAGUAAUGCUUAGGAAUCAGCCUAUUAGUGGGGGACAACAUCUCGAAAGGGAUGCUAAUACCGCAUACGUCCUACGGGAGAAAGCAGGGGAUCACUUGUGACCUUGCGCUAAUAGAUGAGCCUAAGUCGGAUUAGCUAGUUGGUGGGGUAAAGGCCUACCAAGGCGACGAUCUGUAGCGGGUCUGAGAGGAGGAUCCGCCACACUGGGACUGAGACACGGCCCAGACUCCUACGGGAGGCGGCAGUGGGGAAUAUUGGACAAUGGGGGGAACCCUGAUCCAGCCAUGCCGCGUGUGUGAAGAAGGCCUUAUGGUUGUAAAGCACUUUAAGCGAGGAGGAGGCUCUUUUGGUUAAUACCCAAGAUGAGUGGACGUUACUCGCAGAAUAAGCACCGGCUAACUCUGUGCCAGCCGCCGCAGUAA
rnacentral:rRNA from 1 species